AAUCAACGCUGGCGGCGUGCCUCAGACAUGCAAGUCGAACGCGAAAGUUUCCUUCGGGGAACAAGUAGAGUGGCGCACGGGUGAGUAACACGUAGGUAAUCUACCUUUGGAUGGGGAAUAACAACCGGAAACGGUUGCUAAUACCGCAUAAUGCAGCGGCACCUAAUGGUGACAGUUGUUAAAGCGGGGGAUCGAAAGACCUCGCGUCUGAAGAGGAGCCUGCGGCGGAUUAGCAGUUGGUAAGGUGAUGGCUUACCAAGGCGACGAUCCGUAACCGGCCUGGGAGGGCGGUCGGUCACACUGACACUGACAUACGGGCCAGACUCCUACGGGAGGCAGCAGUCGGGAAUUUUGGGCAAUGGGCGAAAGCCUGACGCAGCGACGCCGCGUGAGGGAUGACGG
rnacentral:rRNA from 1 species